AUAGUACUCCCUCCGUCCCAAAAUUUUUGUCUUGGAUUUAUCUAGAUACGGAUGUAUCUAACACUAAAAUGUGAAUAGAUACAUCCGUAUAUAGACAAAUCUAAGACAAGAAUUUUGGGACGGAGGGAGUACUAC
rnacentral:pre_miRNA from 1 species